CGCGUCACCAGCUAGGGGAGAGCGUCGUUGUUAGGCUGGGGUUAAAGGGCGUUAAUCCGUCGUUAGGCUGGGGUUAAAGGUCGUUAACACGUCGUUAGGCUGGGGUUAAAGGUCGUUAACACGUCGUUAGGCUGGGGUUAAAGGUCGUUAACACGUCGUUAGGCUGGGGUUAAAGGUCGUUAACACGUCGUUAGGCUGGGGUUAAAGGUCGUUAACACGUCGUUAGGCUGGGGUUAAAGGUCGUUAACACGUCGUUAGGCUGCGGUUAAAGGUCGUUAACACGUCGUUAGGCUGGGGUUAAAGGUCGUUAACACGUUGUUAGGCUGGGGUUAAAGGUCGUUAACACGUCGUUAGGCUGGGGUUAAAGGUCGUUAACA
ensembl:lncRNA